ACGAACACACAAUCAGAACAAGUAAUCACAGACCAUUUCCUGACAGAGACUUUUUUAUUCGCUGAGAAAAAAAGCUGGAAACCUUUGACGAACACAUCUGAUUCAGUCAUCUUCUGAAAUAAGUAAGAAGAUGCGGCUUUCUCCGUUAUCAGAAAAGAAUCUUUACUAACACUAAAGAUUCCAUGAGGUUACUAUCGCGAGAUAUUGACAAAUUGAGGUGGAACCACGAUUCUUUCGUCCUCUUG
rnacentral:ncRNA from 1 species